AUUGUGCUACAGAGAGUUAAAAAAAAAAAUCCAACCUCUCUAAACAGAGAAACCCUAAAAAAAAGUCCCACACCCGUACUGUUUUCUCUUUCUCUUCUUCUUCUCCGCCACUUAGAAACGAAAUUGACGAGGAGGAUGACCGGAAGUUCUGAACGGAUCCAAGCUCAGUUGGGUUGGGUCGAGGAAGAAACCCGACGACUCUCCACCAUCUGCGAGAGGCGAACCCACGGCGGAGCUUCUCUUCCUCGGUAGGGAGACAGAGAAGACAGAGGAAGAGGACGACGGCGGUGAAGAUACAGGAGCGACGGUGGUCUGUUCGUCUAGUGUGGGACUCUGUUUUUAUAACAUUUGAUGAUUCACGUCUGCUUUUGUUUGCAACCUGAUAAGGAAGAUGAACCUGAGCUAGAGACUAGUGGAAAGGAUGACAAGGGGGGAUGUUUGAAACAUAUAAGGAGGAUGUUUAUGACAUAAUUAUAGAAGAAAGAUACAAACCUGGUUCUGGGUUUGUUAGAUAUGCAGCUGAUGAUGUUAAAAGCUCCAUCGAGAUGGAUGCUCUUGUUCCUACUGCCUAUGAUCCUCCAAUAUGGAAAACAAAGUGUGUGGUAUGUUGCUAUUGCUUAUCUGAGUAAGAGAUUCCAUCUACAGUUGCUACUGAUCCUGCAACCAAACUCUAUUUGGUCUCUGUUGUCUCUCUUAAGCCUUGUCUCAUCGUUUUUUGACUUGCAGGUUAGAUGAAUCUUGUUGUAUUUACUGCUCCUUUGGGUUGCGUAGUCAAGAAAGAUCCACACUUUAUGUCUUAAUCAGGGAGUUGCAGCGGACAAUCUUACCAAACAGAAACUGAACUCGAAGAUACUUGAGUAGGAGCAGAAACAUUGUUGCAUCUCAUAUCAUCACACAUCGAGGACCACUGGAGUUUAGUAUUCUCUCAGCUUCAGGAGCUGUGUCUAGUUGUUAUGUAUGAGGGGCUAUAUGAUAUCAUUGCUAUUUCAGGUUUUUUCUUGAAUACUAAGAGUAAUAGUUACUAGAUCACAAGUCCAGGCUACUCCAUUUCUCUAACCUUUUAUAGUUGAGUUACUUCAUAGAGUCUUCAAGAUACUGAAUUUGGUUCGGGUGAUUUUAUGUAGGUCAUUGUUGGAAGCUUUGUAUUAGAGAAACUGAAACUGAGCACAUGGUGUGUUGAGAGUAACCCCGAGCCAGGUUAAGCUUCACCAUCGACCAAGAAGAAAAAGAAGAAUAAGAAAAGAAUUUAGUUAUUGUUUAGGUUUUUAUGGUUUUCUUUAGGUUUUCUUAGUUUUGGUUUAGUUUUGUAAAUCGUAAGUUAUUUGUAAACCAAUUUUUAAUUUAUAAAUAAAUUUUAUUUA